AUUGAACGCUGGCGGCAUGCUUUACACAUGCCAGUCGAACGGUAACAGGCCUUCGGGUGCUGACGAGUGGCGAACGGGUGAGUAAUGCAUCGGAACGUACCCAGAGGUGGGGGAUAACGCAGCGAAAGCUGUGCUAAUACCGCAUGUGAUCUGAGGAUGAAAGCGGGGGACCGAGCAGCAAUGUUUGGCCUCGCGCCUUUGGAGCGGCCGAUGUCGGGUUAGCUAGUUGGUGGGGUAAAGGCCUACCAAGGCGACGAUCCGUAGCUGGUCUGAGAGGACGACCAGCCACACUGGGACUGAGACACGGCCCAGACUCCUACGGGAGGCAGCAGUGGGGAAUUUUGGACAAUGGGCGCAAGCCUGAUCCAGCAAUGCCGCGUGCGGGAAGAAGGCCUUCGGGUUGUAAACCGCUUUUGGCAGGAACGAAACGGUGUCCGCUAAUACCGGGCGCUAAUGACGGUACCUGCAGAAUAAGCACCGGCUAACUACGUG
rnacentral:rRNA from 1 species